AAAGAAUGGAAAUUUUAAAUUAUUUUAUUAAAUUGUGAUCUAUAAACAUCAAGUAGCCAAAGAGUAAACUUGGGAUCAUAAUACUGGUCUAGUAUUGUCUUUUCAGACAUCUACCACUGACCAGCCUCCAAAUUCCCACACAUGG